CCUACGGGAGGCAGCAGUAGGGAAUUUUCGUCAAUGGGCGCAAGCCUGAAGGAGCAAUGCCGCGUGAGCGAAGAAGGUCUUCGGAUCGUAAAGCUCUGUUGAAGGGGAAGAAGAGCGGAGAGAGUAAAUGGUCUCCGAUUGAUAGUACCCUUCGAGGAAGCCACGGCUAACUACGUGCCAGCAGCCGCGGUAAUACGUAGGGGGGAAGCGUUAGCCGGGAUGAUUGGGCGGAAAGGGUGCGUAGGCGGCACGGUAAGUCUGGGGGGAAAGGUCACGGCUUAACCGGUUAAGGGCUUUGGAAACUGGCGGGCUGGAGUGCAGGAGAGGUCGGUGGAACUCCAUGUGUAGCGGUGAAAUGCGUAGAUAUUUGGAAGAACACCAGUGGCGAAGGCGGCUGACUGGCCUGUAACUGACGCUGAGGCACGAAAGCGUGGGGAGCAAAUAGGAUUAGAUACCCUAGUAGUC
rnacentral:rRNA from 1 species